AGAGUUUGAUCCUGGCUCAGAACGAACGCUGGCGGCAGGCCUAACACAUGCAAGUCGAGCGAAGUCUUCGGACUUAGCGGCGGACGGGUGAGUAACGCGUGGGAACAUACCCAAAGGUACGGAAUAGCCUCGGGAAACUGGGAGUAAUACCGUAUGUGCCCUUCGGGGGAAAGAUUUAUCGCCUUUGGAUUGGCCCGCGUUGGAUUAGGUAGUUGGUGGGGUAAUGGCCUACCAAGCCGACGAUCCAUAGCUGGUUUGAGAGGAUGAUCAGCCACACUGGGACUGAGACACGGCCCAGACUCCUACGGGAGGCAGCAGUGGGGAAUCUUAGACAAUGGGCGCAAGCCUGAUCUAGCCAUGCCGCGUGAUCGAUGAAGGCCUUAGGGUUGUAAAGAUCUUUCAGAUGGGAAGAUAAUGACGGUACCAUCAGAAGAAGCCCCGGCUAACUCCGUG
rnacentral:rRNA from 1 species